rnacentral:rRNA from 1 species
AAUAUAUAUUUUCCAGCAGCACUUUCCAGUACAGCUACCUUGCUAUGACUUUUGAGAUGUUACUCAGAAGGGUUAAUCGAUAUUAAUAAAUCUCAACAAAAUAGUUAAAUCACUAUAUAAAGUUACAUUAGUAACAAAUAAGAAUAACUACACUUAAUUAAAAAUAAUUAGUUUAUGUUUAAAAUUGAAAAUUUAAUUACCUAUUAAAAUUAUAUUAAAAAUAUAAAUUUAAUAUAGAGUAUACUUUUGUUCUUCGUAUUUAUUAAAGGCAAUUUCCCCCAAUCCGAACUCCUCCCCAGCGACAGACAGUUAGUUCAUCACGGAUUCAAUCUUCACCGUUGCAAUACUAAUCAACGAUUACUCGAAAUUCCUUCUUCAUGUUGCCGAAUUCCAGGCAACAAUCCGUUUAUAAAAAUAAUAAAAAUAACUUUUUUUAUUGAUUAGCUAAACCUUUUAGCUCUAACUAACAAUUAGCAGAAGCUAAGUUUUGCGUCACAUUGUAAAAGUUUUUGCAGCACGUCUAUAGCCCAGUUCAUGAGGGCCAUAACGACUUGUCUUAGCCCCAAAUGAAAAUAUUUAAUAAUCAUCAAUAGUUAAGUAUAAAUUAACAAAAGGGAUUUCGUCCGUUAGUGGAGUUAACCUCACUUUUCACAAUACGGACUGACGACAGCCAUGCAACACCUGUAAACGAAUUUCUAAUAAAAUUAAAAAUUUAAAAUAGAAAUUACUCAAUCCAGUUUUUUUAAUCUUUAAUAAUAUUUGCCCCUGGGUUAUUAUUAGAAUAAUAAAAAACAGUAAGUAAAUACUAUUACAACCUAAAAAGAGGGAUUGGAUAUGCAAGAACUGGUAAGAUUUUACGCGUACUUUCGUAUUAAAUAACAUGCUUCACUUCGUUUGCUCCGAGACCGACUAAUUUUUUUGGUUUCAGUUUUGCAACCGUACUCUCAAGGCGGAAUGGUUAUCGCGUUAACAUCGUUACUAAUUUAUAUUAAACUAAUAACUACCAUUCAUCGUUGACGGUGAGAGGUAACUGGGUAUCUAUCAAUCAUUACUAGAUAAAAAGUUUUCACCAUUAGUAUUCUACUUAGUAUCUUUAGAUAUCAUCCUUACACAUAAGUAUUAUUUGGUUUAUCUCCAUUAUGAUUCUAGCUUUAAUUUAUUCUAUUUUUUACUGUUCUUAAUAAAAUUAGGUCUUAUUUAUUUAAUUUUCUCCUAUAAAUCCUGAGGAUUGCGAGUUGAAAAUUUUAUUUUUAUUUAUUAAAUUUAGAGCUUAUUAACUUUCUCUUCCUAGAUAAACAAAGGUAAAAAAGUAAAUUUGGUUUAAAAAUAGAAAAUUUAAAGCAGCCUACUUACCCUUUACGCCUGUUUAAGACGACUAACGUUUGCGUUUCUGGUGUUACCGAGUCUUCUGGCACCAGUAAUUUAGACAACACUUAUAGUAAGGUAAUAUCAUUUUUUUCCCUUACGUUAUCACAAUAACCACGAUUAAGUGGUUUUGUGAUUUCAGUUAGCUAGUUCACUCUUGCGAGCAUUGACUAAUAUUCUUGACUGCAGAUUGCUUAAGCAAUUUGGGGCUUUUCAUUCCCAAUGUGGCCAUUUGUUCUUUCAAACUUGGCUAUUGAUCGUAGGCUUGGUAGGCCUUUACCCUACCAACUACCAAUUAAACAAAAUAAAUCGACUCUUAUAGUAGAAAAUUUCCUUUUUUCAUAAUUAAGCUAUAUUAUGCCAUAUAAUUGAUAUUAUAUAAAUAUCCUCUAUUUCAAAGGACUAUAAGGUAUCUUAUUUAUCAUUACUCAUCGGGUUAAAUACUAAAAUAACGAUUUGCAUGUCUUAAAACUACUGAAAAACGUUCAAUCAGAACCAAAAUUAAAUUCUCCCAAAA